CACGUAGGAGGCGAGCGUUGUCCGGAAUCAUUGGGCGUAAAGAGCUUGCAGGCGGCUUGGCAAGUCGGGUGUGAAAUCCCGGGGCUCAACCCCGGGACUGCAUUCGAUACUGUCAGGCUAGAGGUAGGUAGGGGAGAUCGGAAUUCCUGGUGUAGCGGUGAAAUGCGCAGAUAUCAGGAGGAACACCGGUGGCGAAGGCGGAUCUCUGGGCCUUACCUGACGCUCAGGCGCGAAAGCUAGGGGAGCGAACAGG
rnacentral:rRNA from 1 species